rnacentral:tRNA from 1 species
GGCCUAAUGACUCAGACAUUAGCCUUUGGAGCUAAACUGUGGGUUUGAGUCCCAUUUGGGUCU